rnacentral:lncRNA from 1 species
UUCCACCCCAAGACCAUCUAUUGUUACUUCUCCCUUGGUUCUGGUCUGUGGCACUUGUCUCUAAACUGCACAUGGUUUCUGGGCAUUGUCCCUAUUUUUAUUUCUCACUGAAGUCAUUUUCUUCAUCAUUCCCACUCCUAUUUUCUCUCCACCCUCUGCCCUGAAGUCAGGGGACCUAAAAGUUUGUCACAGCCUCCCUCACUGCAACAUCAGUCCACAGAUGGGAAGUCCCAGCUUGCAGAAGUGAUGCUGGACAAUGCAAAUAAUACAAUUCUCCAUUUCCACAGUCACUCUUGGGGAAAAGGAAGGAUCCUGAUCCUGGGAAUGCUGAGGCUCCUAUUGGAUAUCAGUCAAAUUGGAGUUUCAUUUCAUUUCCUGGGUCUUCUGUUCCCUGAUUUCCAGAGUGGAAGAGUGCAUUUCUUUAUUGAAAGUAACUCAUUAAACUCUUCUGAAAAAGCUGACCAGAAAUCCUUUGUUGUGGGUCACUCAAGAGGAAGAUGAGCUUGUACAGUCUGCAGGCUGUGUGCUAGGAACUGGGAAUGCCUACACAAAAUUGGUGGGACAUGCUGGUAUUUUUAGCUUUCUUAUCAAUGCUUUUCAGAAUAAGUCAAGAAGAGGUUUUCAGGAGGAAAGACAGCAAGCAAAGUCCUCUUGGACAAUCCUUUGGACAAGGCUGUGGGAAAUUGGGAGCUGCUUCUCCAGAAGAUUUUACUUCUCUGUUCCUUGGACCUUUCUCAGUAAUGCUUUCCUGGCUAGGAAGCAUUAAUUGGAUUGUACCUGUACAGGUACAUCCUCAGUGGAUGUCUCCUUACAAGAUGAGUCUUACUGUGUCCAGCUCCCAGGAUCCUAAUGCUGCAGUGCCACUCAGUCCCUUUCAGGGCUCUGGUGACUGGCAGAAGAAACAAAUGAAGAAACAAAUCAUUUUUUGGUUACCAGGAGCAGAACUGGAAGCUCACACUGCCCAGCCCCAGUGCAGCCAGUCCUAAUGAUGGGACUGCUCCCAACUGACAGAAAAACCUUUAUCUUCCCUUUCACGAGAACUUUAACCCUCCCUUUAAAUAAAAGCUUGCCUGCUAAUUGGUUUGACCCCCA